ensembl:snoRNA
AUGCAUGUUUCUAAGGUUUAUGGCUGGUAGCAACCAUGGGGUUUCCAACUACAUGGGGAAAUAACCUGAAGAAACUUUGGCAAUACAAGUCAGCACAGUAACUAGUUGCCACUCAUUGUUCCUAUAUUU